UAUGGCUGUCGUCAGCUCGUGUCGUGAGAUGUUGGGUUAAGUCCCGCAACGAGCGCAACCCUUGUCGUUAGUUACUACCAUUAAGUUGAGGACUCUAGCGAGACUGCCUGGGUUAACCAGGAGGAAGGUGGGGAUGACGUCAAAUCAUCAUGCCCCUUAUGUGUAGGGCUACACACGUGCUACAAUGGCUGGUACAGAGAGAUGCAAUACCGCGAGGUGGAGCCAAACUUAAAAACCAGUCUCAGUUCGGAUUGUAGGCUGAAACUCGCCUACAUGAAGCUGGAGUUACUAGUAAUCGCGAAUCAGAAUGUCGCGGUGAAUACGUUCCCGGGUCUUGUACACACCGCCCG
rnacentral:rRNA from 1 species